UACGUAGGGUGCAAGCGUUGUCCGGAAUUAUUGGGCGUAAAGCGCGUGUAGGCGGUCCGUUAAGUCGGAUGUGAAAUCUCUGGGCUCAACCCAGAAAUCGCAUCCGAUACUGGCGGACUUGAGGAUGGUAGAGGUUGGUGGAAUUCCCGGUGUACCGGUGAAAUGGACAGAUAUCGGGAGGAACACCUAUUGCGAAGGCAGCUCGCUGGGACGUAACUGACGCUGAGACGCGAAAGCGUGGGGAGCAAACAGG
rnacentral:rRNA from 1 species